rnacentral:rRNA from 1 species
UGGGGAAUCUUGCGCAAUGGGCGAAAGCCUGACGCAGCCAUGCCGCGUGAAUGAUGAAGGUCUUAGGAUUGUAAAAUUCUUUCACCGGGGACGAUAAUGACGGUACCCGGAGAAGAAGCCCCGGCUAACUUCGUGCCAGCAGCCGCGGUAAUACGAAGGGGGCUAGCGUUGCUCGGAAUUACUGGGCGUAAAGGGAGCGUAGGCGGACAUUUAAGUCAGGGGUGAAAUCCCGGGGCUCAACCUCGGAAUUGCCUUUGAUACUGGGUGUCCUGAGUAUGAGAGAGGUGUGUGGAACUCCGAGUGUAGAGGUGAAAUUCGUAGAUAUUCGGAAGAACACCAGUGGCGAAGGCGACACACUGGCUCAUUACUGACGCUGAGGCUCGAAAGCGUGGGGAGCAAACAGG